AUACUAGGAUGGAUUUGGCUAUGUCCUCCCACAAAAUGUGUGGCCUUACACCAAUAAUCGAAUUUAACAUACAGUGGGGGCUCUGUACACGAAUAUCAUCCGCCCCGGAGCCCUGUUAAUUAAUCCAAACUUCGUUAUAUGAGUAACUUAAAUACAUAUAAAUACAAGUUAUCCGUUCCAAGCCGGACACGACCUUUCCAUAAAGAUCUUUCAUCGUCCCUUGAUACUGACUAAAUGACCUACAAGUGAUUUGUGCGUGCAGAGACUUGUAUAAAAUGACGUGUGCUGCAUCCAAAUGUGUGAUUACUUAUACACUAGCUCCUUAUUCCUAUUCCAGCGGAAUACAUCAGAAGUCAUUUGACUGCGGCCAUGCUGGAGCACCGCCUUUAGUCGA